UACGUAGGUGGCGAGCGUUGUCCGGAAUCACUGGGCGUAAAGGGCGCGUAGGCGGCGCUUCAAGUCGCAUGUGAAGGACCAGGGCUUAACUCUGGGGGGUCAUGCGAAACUGGAGUGCUUGAGUGCAGUAGAGGUAAGCGGAAUUCCUGGUGUAGCGGUAAAAUGCGUAGAGAUCAGGAGGAACACCGGUGGCGAAGGCGGCUUACUGGGCUGUAACUGACGCUGAUGCGCGAAAGCGUGGGGAG
rnacentral:rRNA from 1 species